UACGUAGGGGGCAAGCGUUGUCCGGAUUUAUUUGGGCGUAAAGAGCGUGUAGGCGGUCAGGUAGGUCCGUUGUGAAAACUCGAGGCUCAACCUCGAGACGCCGAAUGGAAACCAUCUGGCUAGAGUCCGGAAGAGGAGAGUGGAAUUCCUGGUGUAGCGGUGAAAUGACGCAGAUAUCAGGAGGAACACCGGUGGCGAAGGCGGGUCUCUGGGCCGAUACUGACGCUGAGGAGCGAAAGCGUGGGGAGCGAACAGG
rnacentral:rRNA from 1 species